CUAGCGCAGACCCCUCUAAAGCUGGGUCUGAUGUGCACCUCGAGGUUCCAAAGCUUGAAGUUGCAUAUCUAGAAUUCCAAUAUUUGAUAUGUUGGGUCUUUGAGAGGUUGCAAAGCUUGAAGUUGUGCAUCUAGAGUUCCAAUAUUUGAUAUGUUGAUUCUUUGUUCAACUCAAGAUAUGCAUUCUUGAAGAUUUACAACCUCAAGGUGCACAUCAGCCCCAGGUUAGAUGGGUAUGUGCUAG
rnacentral:pre_miRNA from 1 species